GCCAGUUAGCUAGCCAACCACUUGGAUUAACACCACAACAUAAAUAACCCCGCAUUACCUUACAAGUAAAAAACAAAUCAUUUUUCCACCUUAGUAUGGGAGACAGAAAAGGAUAUUUGAGCCAUAGAAAAAGUACCGCAAGGGAAAGCUGAAAGAGAAAUGAAACAACCCACUUAAGCAUAUAAAAGCAAAGAUUAAGCCUUGUACCUUUUGCAUCAUGAUCUAGCCAGAACACCCAAGCGAAGAGCACUUUAGUUUGGGCCCCCGAAACUGGACGAGCUACUCCGGGACAGCCUGAAUUAUAGGGCGAACCCGUCUCUGUUGCAAAAGAGUGGGAAGAGCCCCGAGUAGAAGUGAAAUACCUAUCGAGUCUAGUUAUAGCUGGUUGCUUAGGAAAUGAAUAGGAGUUCAGCCCCCCCGAUUUUUAAGUCACUAAGAUCCUACUUUUAUUGACUUUAAGAAGCGGAGGGAGUUAGUCGAAGGAGGUACAGCUCCUUCGAACCAGGAUACAACCUUAACAGGUGGCUAAGAAUCAUAGUAUUAAAGGCUAACUGCUUCAGUGGGCUUAAGGGCAGCCAUCUGUAUUGAAAGCGUUAAAGCUCAGGCAGCAAGCGACCUCUUAUUCUGUUAAAACUUUCUACCCCCUUGUAUUACUAAGCCGUCCCAUGCCCCCAUGGGAGUGACGAUGCUAGAAUGAGUAAUAAGAGGGGACACCCCCCCCCCCUCUCCCAGCACACGUGUAAGUCGGACCGGACCCUCCACCGAUAAUUAACGAACCCAAACCUAGAGGGAAAUUUAAGCUUAAUUGAAAACGAGAAGAGCCUAAUUAAUUUUAUCGUUAACCCCACACAGGAGUGCCCACACGGAAAGACGAAAAGGAAGAGAAGGAACUCGGCAAACACAAGCCUCGCCUGUUUACCAAAAACAUCGCCUCUUGAGUACCCUAUAUAAGAGGUCCCGCCUGCCCGGUGACUCUGGGUUAAACGGCCGCGGUAUUUUAACCGUGCGAAGGUAGCGCAAUCACUUGUCCUUUAAAUGAAGACCUGUAUGAAUGGCUAGACGAGGGCUUAACUGUCUCCUCUCCCCCGUCAAUGAAAUUGAUCUCCCCGUGCAGAAGCGGGGAUUUUUUCAUAAGACGAGAAGACCCUAUGGAGCUUUAGACACUAGACAGCCCACGUCAAACAACCUUAACCUGCUAGGCGAGAACAUUGUGGCCCCUGUCUCCCCUGUCUUCGGUUGGGGCGACCGCGGAGGAAAAAAAGCCUCCAUGUGGAAUGAAGAUACCACCUUCACAGCUCAGAGCCGCAGCUCUACGCAACAGAAAUUCUGACCAAAAAUGAUCCGGCACAUGCCGAUUAACGGAACAAGUUACCCUAGGGAUAACAGCGCAAUCCUCUCCCAGAGUCCCUAUCGACGAGGGGGUUUACGACCUCGAUGUUGGAUCAGGACAUCCUAUUGGUGCAGCCGCUAAUAAGGGUUCGUUUGUUCAACGAUUAAAGUCCUACGUGAUCUGAGUUCAGACCGGAGUAAUCCAGGUCAGUUUCUAUCUAUGACAUGAUCCUCCCCAGUACGAAAGGACCGGGAAGAAGGGGCCCAUGCUCAAGGCACACCUCACCCCCACCUGCUGAAGACAACUAAAACAGAAAAGGGGACAUAUCCAGACGCGUUAAAGAAAAAUAAUACCGCAUCCCAACGUGGCGGUUAUCGGAAUGCAAGACACAUGCAAGGAUAUUCCAUCACCCC
rnacentral:rRNA from 1 species